CACUCAGGGUCACUCAGGGGUCAUUGGGGUCACUCGGGGGUCACUCUGGGGUCACUCAGGGGUCACUCAGGGUCACUCAGGGUCACUCAGGGGUCAUUGGGGUCACUCAGAGGUCACUCAGGGUCACUCAAGGGUCAUUGGGGUCAUUCUGGGGUCACUCAGGGGUCACUCAGAGGUCAUUGGGGUCACUCUGGGGUCAGGGACACCAAAAUCUGGGAGAAUUGGGGGAAAUUUGGGAAUUUCAGGGGGAAUUUUGGGGUCCUGGGGUGGGAAUUUGGGGAAUUUUGGGGUCCUGGGGUCGGAAUUUUGGGAAUUCCCCCCCCAGCCUGGAUUUUUCUGGGAAUUCCGAACUUUUUGGGCUUUCUUUUCCCUCCUGCCCGGAAUCCCCUGCCCUGAACCCUCCCAAAAACCCCAAAAUAACCCAAAAAAAUUCCCAAAAAAUUCCAAAAAAAAUUCCCAAAAAAUUCCCAAAAAAAUUCCCAAAAAAUUCCCCAAAAAAUUCCCAAAAUACCCCAAAAAAUUUAAAAAAAAUUCCCAAAAAAUUCCAAAAAAUUCCAAAAAAGUUCCCAAAAAUUCCCAAAAAAAUUGCCAAAACACCCCAAAAAAUUAAAAAAAAAUUCCCAAAAAAUUCCAAAAAAAUCCCCAAAAUCCCCCCAAAAAAUUCCCCCCAAAAUCCCCAAAAAUUCCCAAAAAAAUUCCGAAAAAUUCAAAAAAAAUUCCCAAAAAAUUCCCAAAAUACCCCCAAAAAAUCCCCAAAAAUUCCCCAAAAAUUCCCAAAAAAAUCCCCAAAAAUUCCCCAAAAAAUUCCAAAAAAAAUCCCAAAAAAUUCCAAAAAAAACCAAAAAAAUUCCCAAAAAAAUCCCAAAAAAUUCCAAAAAAAUCCCCAAAAAUUCCCAAAAAAAUUCCAAAAAAAUCCCCAAAAAUCCCCAAAAAUUCCCCAAAAAGUUCCAAAAAAAUCCCCCAAAAAUCCCCCAAAAUUCCAAAAAAUCCCCAAAAAUUCCAAAAAAAUUGCCCAAAAAUUCCCCAAAAAAUCCCCAAAAAUUCAAAAAAAUUCCAAAAAAAUUCCAAAAAAUUCCCAAAAAUUCUUAAAAAAUCCCCAAAAAUUCCCCAAAAAUCUCCAAAAAUCCCCGACUUCCCCCGAAUUUCCGGAUCCAGGACCCGGUGUUCGCCCUGGAGCAGAACCUGCCCAUCGACACCCGCUACUACCUGGAGCAGCAGCUGAGCCGGCCCCUGCUGAGGAUCUUCGAGCCCAUCCUGGGCGAGGGCCGGGCCCAGGCGGUGCUGCUGCAGGGGGAACACACGCGCUGCAAAACCCUCCUGACCUCCAAAUCCGGGGGGCUCUCGGCCUUCACCUCCAAACGCAGCAGCUGCGUGGGCUGCCGGGCCCUCCUGCCCCACCACGGAGCUGUUUGUGAUUUCUGCCGCCAGAGGGAGUCCGAGCUCUACCAGAAGGAGGUGGGGGAGCAAUUCCCGGAAUUUUGGGGGAAUUUGGGGAAUUUUUGGGGAAUUUUUGGGGAAUUUUGGGGGGAUUUUUUGGGAAUUUUGGGGGAAUUUUGGGAAUUUUUUGGGGAAUUUUUUGGGAUUUUUUUGGGGAUUUUUUUUGGAAUUUGGGGGGGAUUUUUUUUGGAUUUUGGGGAAUUUUUUGGGAAUUUUUGGGGGGAUUUUUAGGAAUUUUUGGGGAAUUUUUUGGGAAUUUUUGGGAAUUUUGGGGGGAUUUUUGGGGGAUUUUUGGGGGAUUUUUUUGGGAAAUUUUGGGGGAAUUUUUGGGGAAUUUUGCAGGAAUUUU
ensembl:lncRNA